GUUGGCACUCCACAAAUUCAGAGGAUAAUCCAUUUGAGUUCUACAUUGACUGUGGAGACAAAUAAUGCCAGGCAUUUACAGAGACUGAGUGACUAAACUUCAAUGGCUGGAAAACACUUUGGAUGUCCUGAGAUUGUGAAAGGCACUAUAUAAAUACAAAACUGUUGCUAUCUGUCAUGAUGUUCUUGGGUAUCCACAGAGGAUUCAUCGAAGCUAGACCAGAAUGACCUUCAGAGCAAGAGAGUGAAAUAAACUGAACUUUCCUUUCAAGUACAAAGGACUUUGCUACUGGUUAUUUGAAAAAUUGACUUACUCCAAGGGAACACAGCAGGUGAAAUGGGAACACAAUGACCGUCAAGUUCCACUGAAAGUUAUGCAGCAUCCAGACUUGAAAAAUCCAUUGCCGUCCUCUCACUGUUACUGAGUCAAAAUCUUGGAUCUCCUUCACAGCGUUGUAGUUUCUCCUAUCCCACAUGGACAGCAGUGGUUCAAUUCUUUUGGUUUUUAUUUAGAUAUUUCUCAACAUAGGAGAGAGAGAAAGAGAGAGAGGGGUCUGAUAUUGCUUCUGGUGCAUUACUCUAUGUUAAGCAUGGACAAAGCAGGGAGCCAGCCUCCAGACCAAUCACGGCAGCUUUCACCAUCUGCCGUGGGAGGAUUUGAAAUAAAAACAGAAAACCUUGGGGAAACUCACCAGGCCUGACAGCAUCAGCGGAGAGAGAAACAGAAUUAAUGUUCGAAUUGGAUAUGACUCUUCUUCAGAACAAUCUUGAACUUGUUCCUGGAACAUUAGCCUGGGAUUCUGGAUUCCUAAUGACAUUAACACUACGACACCGCCUCCUCAAAAACUGAUUCAGAUGAAGAGAUUGGAACUAUAUGUGCUUGCUGAUGAUGUACCUUGAAAAAAUGUUACUUCAUUGCUGAAGCCUGAAAUACAUUUGUGUGAAAUUCUGUUUUCUAACUCCAUAGAACUCUAAGUCUGUAGAAUCAUUGAAUGAUACAUACAGGAUAUGUAAGGUUUUACAUCUUGUCUUGUCCGUGCUGGCUUUUUGAAAGUGCUGUUAAAUUAAUUCUGUUUCACUAUUUUUGCCCCAGCACACUGUAAAUGUUUUCUUUAUAGGUAUAUCUCCAAUUCUCUGUUGAAAGUUAUUAUUGAUUUUGCUUCCACAAUCCUUUCAGGCAAGGCAUGUCAUUUCAAUAACUUGCUACAUAAAACAAUUCUCAUCUCCCCUCUGUUUUGUUUUAAACUUUCACUUAAAAUCUCUGUUGAGAGUUGAGAGUUUGACUAAGCAUAGAACAGUAUGGAAAAUUAUUGAGGCUUAUCGAAUGCCUUUGGGGGAAAAAAUCCCAGAUUAAUCGUCUGGUCCAGGGCUAGCUGUCUGAUUUUUAAAACUUAAUUAAUGUGCUGGUGAAGGUGGAAUAAAACAUUGCAAAAGUGAUCAUGUCAUGACGGGUGGGUGGAAUGGAAAUUUUACAAUUAAAAACAGUGAUCUAAUUGGUGAGUGAGUGGAAAAGCAAAGGAUACUUUUACAUCAUUUAAACCCACAGAAAAUGUAUAUUAAAAUGGUAAAAAAUAUGUGAUCGCAAAAGGCUUGAUGGUAGCUUCGUUCUCAACAAAACUGCAAAUUUUGAGAAAGAUUGCAUUUCAUGAAAGAAAAAUGCAGCAUAAAAUCUACAAGCCCACAGAAGUAUAGAAUCAGAGAACGGUCACAAGACACAAAGAAACCAUUCACCCCCCUGAGUCCAUCCCAGCUCUCUGCCAAAGUAUAUAGUCAUUGCUAACAUUUUCCAGCCACUAAGACCUGCAAAUCUUUUCUCUUCAGGUUCAUUUCCAAUUUUUGAAAGUCAGGAUUGGACCUACCUCCACCAUAAUAAACCAUGGAUCCUUAAGCCUUUUUAACCACUUGCACCCUUCCUCCACAGGCAACAAUUUACACACAUACCCCAGGCUGCUAUAGUUCUUUAGAAUAGUGCCAUUGAGUUUAUGAUGUAUUUUCUUGUUUUCGCAAAGAAACAAAGAAAGAAAACUGCAGGACCAGGCCAUUUGGCCCUUCGAACCUGCUCCACCAUUCAAAAUGAUCAUGGCUUAUCAUCAAAUCCAGUACCCCACCUUCUCCUCAGAAUCUUUGAUCACUUUGGUCCUCAGAACUAUAUCUAACGCCUUGUUGAAAACCAGUCUGAUUACAAGUUAAUACACGGCCAGAUUCUAAACAAGGCCUCAUGCCUAAAAUGUGUUGUCUGACCUGAGAUGUCACCUCUGGUAUACUGAUAGAACCCCCAGUUAUCUUCGGGCAGUGGCUCGAAAUAAAUCCUGAGAUUUGCGUAUUAAUCCUUUCUAACUGAUUAAAGAUUUAACAGCUAUCUUACGUUUGUUCAAUGCAUUUGCAUCAGUUCUUUCAUCUUUUGCUUAUAAAUUCUGUGCCUAAGCCACCUCUCUA